UACGGAGGGUGCAAGCGUUAUCCGGAUUUACUGGGUUUAAAGGGUGCGCAGGCGGCUAUGUAAGUCAGUGGUGAAAUCUCCGGGCUUAACCCGGAAACUGCCGUUGAUACUAUAUAUCUUGAAUGCUGUGGAGGUAAGCAGAAUAUGUCAUGUAGCGGUGAAAUGCUUAGAGAUGACAUAGAAUACCUAUUGCGAAGGCAGCUUACUACGCAGAUAUUGACGCUCAUGCACGAAAGCGUGGGGAUCAAACAGG
rnacentral:rRNA from 1 species